UCUCUGAGCCCAGCAGUGGCCAGCAGUGAUAGGGCCGGGAAUUCUGGUGGGAGAACCCUGCUGACCUUAGCACUGGUGGGGGAGUAGGUAGCCCCCAGUAAGGAGGAGCCCUGCUCUGUGACAGAGCUCUGUGCCACCAUCAGCACAGCGUCAGAGACCCGGCCCCAGGCAGGCGGCCUUGGACAUGAUCACAAGUCCAUGUUCUAGGAAUUACACAGCAGAGAGAAGCCUUGGUCUCACAGAGCAAGUCUGAGUUCUGGCCGUAGUAACCAGGAAACAAAUCACAGGACUGGCUCUUACAGAUAGAAGAAAGAGUGGCCUCUGUUCUUCUGUUGGACAUUGUCACAAAUGGAUGAGAUACCUGGAACUGCUGCAGCCAAUUUAUGACCAUGAGGGGAGUCAGCCUGAAAAGGAAGCCAGCCAUUGGAAGAAGACAGAGCCAGGAGAAUUGCAGCAUGAGGAGCCAGAGCCCCGACAUGCGGAGCUGUCUGCUUGUGACUGCUCACUUCAGAGAUGGAUUUCCUUACCCCUGGAAACUCUUGAGUCAAGGCUUUCUGUAACUUGUAGCCAAAACAUCCUAACUCAAUCAAAGAACAAAAUGAUGGCUGCAGCAGAGGCUAUCUUGCAACUCGGAGGUGGCCUUGAAGAGAGAAGCAGCACAAACCCUCUUGAUCCUGCAGGAGGUCGUGUGUUUGCUCUUGAUGUCUUCUGCCCAGGCCCCUGCCCACACGGUGAGGAGUACCUCCUUCUAGACCACUUUGCAGAUCGUCAGGACCCCAGAAUUUCUGCCUAAAGGCCCCCAGCCCAUUCCCAGGGCUGUGUGCCUCCUUCCCUGGCUCUGUCCUCCCAAGAGUGGCCCAUGUUACCAGCGUGCGCUAGGUCCAGGGAUGGUCAGGGAAGGCCUCCCUGAGGAAGCAAUAGUUGAGCAGAGACCUGAAUAAAGUGACGGAGCAAGCGAUAUGAGAAUCUCAGCCACAGGAACCUCAAACACAAAGGACUUAGCUGAGAAAAGAUGGGUUGUGUUUCAGGAAGCUCUGGGGCCUGCCCGCGACCCCACCCCGGCUGGUACUGACUGUAGCAUUCACCUCAGAACCUGCUCCUCCCAAGCCUUACCAAAGCCAUCCAUGCCAUUGGGGCAAACUUCCCGCUGGAAUUCCACUUCUUAAAAAUAACCAACUCUGGGUGGAGAACACACAACGCAUUAUAUAGAUGAUGUAUGAUAGAAAUGUACACUUGAAACCUAUAUAAUUGUCUAUUAUUGUCUAUAAUUGACUAACCAAUG